GGCCUAACACAUGCAAGUCGAGCGGCCGUAGCAAUACGGCAGCGGCAGACGGGAGAGUAACACGUGGGAACGCGCCCUUCGGUCUGGAAUAACCCAGGGAAACUUGGGCUAAUACCGGAUACGCCCUUACGGGGAAAGAUUUAUUGCCGAAGGAACGGCCCGCGUCCGAUUAGCUAGUUGGUGAGGUAACGGCUCACCAAGGCGACGAUCGGUAGCUGGUCUGAGAGGAUGACCAGCCUCACUGGGACUGAGACACGGCCCAGACUCCUACGGGAGGCAGCAGUGGGGAAUAUUGGACAAUGGGCGCAAGCCUGAUCCAGCCAUGCCGCGUGGGUGAUGAAGGCCCUAGGGUUGUAAAGCCCUUUCAGCGGGGAAGAUAAUGACGGUACCCGCAGAAGAAGCCCCGGCUAACUUCGUGCCAGCAGCCGCGGUAAUACGAAGGGGGCUAGCGUUGCUCGGAAUUACUGGGCGUAAAGCGCACGUAGGCGGCUUUCUAAGUCGGGGGUGAAAUCCUGGAGCUCAACUCCAGAACUGCCUUCGAUACUGGAAAGCUCGAGUCCGGGAGAGGUGAGUGGAACUGCGAGUGUAGAGGUGAAAUUCGUAGAUAUUCGCAAGAACACCAGUGG
rnacentral:rRNA from 1 species